rnacentral:ncRNA from 1 species
UCGCGCAUCUGCAAGGAUGCUGGCGUAAUGGUCAUCAACGACCCGUCUUGAAACACGGACCAAGGAGUCGUCUUCGUAUGCGAGUGUUCGGGUGUCAAACCCCUACGCGUAAUGAAAGUGAACGCAGGUGAGAGCUUCGGCGCAUCAUCGACCGAUCCUGAUGUUCUCGGAUGGAUUUGAGUAAGAGCAUACGGGGCCGGACCCGAAAGAAGGUGAACUAUGCCUGUAUAGGGUGAAGCCAGAGGAAACUCUGGUGGAGGCUCGCAGCGGUUCUGACGUGCAAAUCGAUCGUCAAAUAUGGGCAUGGGGGCGAAAGACUAAUCGAACCUUCUAGUAGCUGGUUUCCGCCGAAGUUUCCCUCAGGAUAGCAGUGUUGAACUCAGUUUUAUGAGGUAAAGCGAAUGAUUAGGGACUCGGGGGCGCUAUUUAGCCUUCAUCCAUUCUCAAACUUUAAAUAUGUAAGAAGCUCUUGUUGCUUAAUUGAACGUGAGCAUUCGAAUGUAUCAACACUAGUGGGCCAUUUUUGGUAAGCAGAACUGGCGAUGCGGGAUGAACCGAACGCGAGGUUAAGGUGCCAGAGUAGACGCUCAUCAGACACCACAAAAGGUGUUAGUACAUCUUGACAGCAGGACGGUGGCCAUGGAAGUCGGAAUCCGCUAAGGACUGUGUAACAACUC